CCCUCAGUUUGUUCUCAGUUUUUAAGAGUCUCUUAUGGUAGUCUCUUUCAUCUCACAACACUUUAUUCCGAAUCUCCAAGCUAGAUAUCACUGCCCUCUUUUUCCCUCCCUCCCUUUUCCUUUCCUUCUCUCCCCCUUCCUCCUCCUCUCUCUCCACAAUCGCUUAUAUACCUCUCCAACUAGAGGUUUCCAAACAGAUGCUUUAAUGACCCAUCAUGACAAAAAUAUUGCACUUGGUUAAAAGAGGGGAACAGAGAGGAAGAGCCGGUAAGUAGACAUAUGUGGUAGGUAAGAAUGAGUGAGAAUCAUGUGGAGGAACUUCCGUGAAAAUGGUUCCAUUGGUAAUGAAGCAGCAGCAUUUGGGGGGCCAUGAUGCUUUGGGUAGAAAGAGGAAAUCUAUACCAAUCUAUACCAAUCCCUUCCCUAUGCGUCUGACUUCAUGAAACUAUAUUCUACGCUAAGAUGUGAAAGGAGCCUGGCACUUAUUUAAGACAACAAUCUAGACAGAACAUUUUAGAACGUUCUGAUGAAUUAGCUGUGUGAUCAUCUUGGGUGGGGAGGAGGAGGACUCAGCUGUGGUCCUGGAUUAAGUGCUUGCUUUUCUUCCCCUGAAAGAAUGACUCUACAUGUUGUUUAGAAGAAUAAGAGAACGUAAGUCAUUCGCCUAGGAUUUUGCCUGAAAAUGGGAAAUGUGAGAUUUGGAUUGACUAUAAGCAACGGAGGUAUAAACAUACAUAAUGAGGGACUCAGAAGCCCUCUCAUGUCUGGAAUACGAUGUCACAGAACGUCUCUCCUUGGAGACUCCAGAGGACAGCGUGAAACAGGAAGAAAAUUGUUUGAUUAUAACUGUGACCCAGCAGAAUGGUGGUACCCAUUUGGGACAGCAGACACAAUGAAACAGAGGCAGGUCAUAAAAUUUUCUGUGCAUCAUUAAACACUCAGCAAAAUCCUGUCGGGACAGGAUUAUACGACUCUCGACCUAUAGUCUGGGAAAUAGUUGUCACAAGAGAUUAUUGUUUCUCAAGAUGAAUGUAUAAGAAAUGUUUUAAUCUCUAAAGCAUUUGUUCCUCAACGGCCAACCCUUUCUUGUGACUUUGUCCUGAUUCUACCUAUGAAGAUAACCCCACCCUUUAUAAUAAUAAAGCUAUAUAAUGUUACUGUUA